rnacentral:lncRNA from 1 species
CCAGAACCGUGAGACAGUAUCCGCUGUUUUGAGCCAUCCGGUUUGUGGUACCUUGUUAACCUUCUUCUACAACCCUAAAAAGCAAAUACCAGCAUGCACUAUUUUAGAUUUUAAAACCAGGAUUAUAAAAGAACCACAGAAACACAGGGAAAGGCGCGAUUAUCCAGUUUUCUCGGGCAGUCGCUCUGAAGAGGAAAUGUUGGAGAGGAAUUUGCACAACAGAGGGUGAAUUAUACUGCUGGGUCACAAGAAGAAGACGUGGCUCCUCUUGAUGCUGAGGGAGGCCUGGAAGUCAUUGCUGGGA